rnacentral:tRNA from 1 species
AAGGGAGACCUAAUUCAGGUAGGGGACGAAAAAAAAGUAGUCGCUACCAAGAAUCAAUCCCAAAAGGUCGGAGCGAGGCGAAAUUGGCUUUCAAACUAGGUUCUGGGUUCAAACAAGACCUGAAUCAGGAACAAGGGCUAUUAGCUCAGGUGGUUAGAGCGCACCCCUGAUAAGGGUGAGGUCCCUGGUUCGAGUCCAGGAUGGCCCACCUGCACAGGUGGCAAAAACAAGAGAAGCGAGGAAUCAGCACCUUAUCUUACUCAUAUAGUAAGAGAGAAUGCUGGCUCUGAGUAAAGAGUCCAGAGGAACCUUGAAAACUGCAUAGAGCUAGGUGAAAAAGCCAAAAAAGAAGACCGCAA